rnacentral:lncRNA from 1 species
AUUCACCAUAUUUACAUGGUAUCAGAGCCUGGAUCUUUCUCCCGGACAUACUCUCUAUCUUCCCCAUUCUUUUGGUUUGAGUUCAUGGCGUUAUCGGUGGUGAUUUCUGGUUUAUUUUCAAAGUUAUCGGUGAAGAUUCUGGAUUUUUUUUAUAUUUUGGUGAUAUCGGAGUUGUUUUGUUGCCGAUUCUUCCAACGAGGUGUUAGGGUGAUUUUCCGACACCUCUUGCGCUUGAUUCCACCGGGUUUUUCUGCAAGCUAGGGUUUUCUUCACACGCUAGGGUUUCUCUGCAAUUUUUUUUGAAGGCCGUAUCUUCUCCGGUUGCGUAGAAGCCUGGUAACCCUAUUAUCCCACUAGAUUAGGGCUUGCAUGUACCUUUGUUGUUGUAUUGUGUAGCUCAUAGUUAUUGUAUCUCUCUUUUCUCAUCCCUAUUAUCCUGUAUCCGAUGGCAGAUGUGAACCCUGUUAAUCCCUCACCUAUUGACCCUACAAUCCUCUAUUUGUUUACUCUUCUGAUGUCCCCGGAGUUUCUCUUGUUCCUAUCCCUUUCUCGGGUAAUGGCUAUGGGGGUUGGAAGAGAAAGGUGAUAGUCGCCUUAUCUGCUAAGAACAAAAUUGCAUUUGUUGAUGGAACUUGUCCUAUACCAACCACUAAUCUGGCUAAACAGAGACUAUGGGACAGAUGCAAUAACAUGGUCAUCUCCUGGUUGACUGCCUCUCUGUCCCCUCAAAUUGCUGAAAGUGUCCAAUAAUCUUAGACUGCACAGAGUAUAUGGGCACAACUCAAAGCCAGAUAUGGCACAGCCAAUAGGACCAAAAUUUUUGAACUGAAACGAGAACUUUCUCAUUCUUCUCAAGGACCCCUAGAUAUAGCCUCCUAUUUCAACAAACUCAAAGGGUUAUGGGAUGAGUUAGGUACAAUGUGCCCAAAUCAUGGACAGAGAUGUAUCUGUGAUGCUAGACCUAGCAUUAUAAAGGAGGAUGAGGAGAAUAAGGUGUUUCAAUUCCUCAUGGGUCUUAAUGAGACAUAUAUGGGGGUAAGGAGCAACUUGUUAAUGAUGCAACCUCCUUUGGUAUACUAAGGAUUCAUAUAGCCGGUCUUAAUGAGACAUAUAUGGGGGUAAGGAGCAACUUGUUAAUGAUGCAACCUCCUCCUAGUCUUGACAGUGUCUAUAACAUUCUCCUUAAUGAUGAAAAACAGAGACAAGUUCAGUCUGUCUCCCAGUUCAAUCCUGAUUCUAUGUCCUUCAAUGUUAAUACACAUAAACCUUCCACACCUUCCUUCAGUCCAGCUCCCUUGCUCAACUCUCCUCCUCCCAGACAGUAUGCCCAGAAAGUCACUUUUGAUCAGUCCAGAGGACCCCUCUUAUGUAGAUAUUGCAAGAAGUCUAGGCACUUAAUUGAUAAGUGCUACAAACUUCAUGGUUUUCCUCAAAGCAUCAGGAUUAACAAAGGCAAGAGACCCAUUGUUGCUCAUGUCACCACUGGUGUUGACUUCACAUCCUCUCCUUAUUCUGCUGGCCAUAAUUCUCC